rnacentral:tRNA from 1 species
AUUUUCUUAGUAUAUUGUACAGGCGACUUCCAAUCACCAAGACCUGGUCAUAAUCCAGGAGAAAAUA